rnacentral:misc_RNA from 1 species
AAAGUCGUAACAAGGUUUCCGUAGGUGAACCUGCGGAAGGAUCAUUAACAGUGAGCCCCAGUCUUCACUGGGGACUACACCUCUUACCACAAAAAAAGUUCCCGGGCUGGAUUUUCCGGUCAGUGGACUUUUUUUGGAGUGUAAUGCGUCCACCCAUUGUGAAACUUAACCUAUGCUUCGGCAGCACUCUUAGCAUUAAAACCGCUAGAGGGGUAAGGCUGUCAGAAGCCCACUAUCAAACUAGUUUAUGAAAUGUCAUGCAGUCUGAUAACUACUAUUUGAGAAAUCAAAUUACGUUAAAACUUUCAGCAACGGAUCUCUUGGUUCUC